rnacentral:rRNA from 1 species
AAAUUGAAGAGUUUGAUCAUGGCUCAGAUUGAACGCUGGCGGCAGGCCUAACACAUGCAAGUCGAACGGUAACAGGAAGCAGCUUGCUGCUUUGCUGACGAGUGGCGGACGGGUGAGUAAUGUCUGGGAAACUGCCUGAUGGAGGGGGAUAACUACUGGAAACGGUGGCUAAUACCGCAUAACGUCGCAAGACCAAAGAGGGGGACCUUCGGGCCUCUUGCCAUCAGAUGUGCCCAGAUGGGAUUAGCUUGUUGGUGAGGUAACGGCUCACCAAGGCGACGAUCCCUAGCUGGUCUGAGAGGAUGACCAGCCACACUGGAACUGAGACACGGUCCAGACUCCUACGGGAGGCAGCAGUGGGGAAUAUUGCACAAUGGGCGCAAGCCUGAUGCAGCCAUGCCGCGUGUAUGAAGAAGGCCUUCGGGUUGUAAAGUACUUUCAGCGGGGAGGAAGGUGUUGUGGUUAAUAACCACAGCAAUUGACGUUACCCGCAGAAGAAGCACCGGCUAACUCCGUGCCAGCAGCCGCGGUAAUACGGAGGGUGCAAGCGUUAAUCGGAAUUACUGGGCGUAAAGCGCACGCAGGCGGUCUGUCAAGUCGGAUGUGAAAUCCCCGGGCUCAACCUGGGAACUGCAUUCGAAACUGGCAGGCUUGAGUCUUGUAGAGGGGGGUAGAAUUCCAGGUGUAGCGGUGAAAUGCGUAGAGAUCUGGAGGAAUACCGGUGGCGAAGGCGGCCCCCUGGACAAAGACUGACGCUCAGGUGCGAAAGCGUGGGGAGCAAACAGGAUUAGAUACCCUGGUAGUCCACGCCGUAAACGAUGUCUACUUGGAGGUUGUGCCCUUGAGGCGUGGCUUCCGGAGCUAACGCGUUAAGUAGACCGCCUGGGGAGUACGGCCGCAAGGUUAAAACUCAAAUGAAUUGACGGGGGCCCGCACAAGCGGUGGAGCAUGUGGUUUAAUUCGAUGCAACGCGAAGAACCUUACCUGGUCUUGACAUCCACAGAACUUUCCAGAGAUGGACUGGUGCCUUCGGGAACUGUGAGACAGGUGCUGCAUGGCUGUCGUCAGCUCGUGUUGUGAAAUGUUGGGUUAAGUCCCGCAACGAGCGCAACCCUUAUCCUUUGUUGCCAGCGGUUAGGCCGGGAACUCAAAGGAGACUGCCAGUGAUAAACUGGAGGAAGGUGGGGAUGACGUCAAGUCAUCAUGGCCCUUACGACCAGGGCUACACACGUGCUACAAUGGCGCAUACAAAGAGAAGCGACCUCGCGAGAGCAAGCGGACCUCAUAAAGUGCGUCGUAGUCCGGAUUGGAGUCUGCAACUCGACUCCAUGAAGUCGGAAUCGCUAGUAAUCGUGGAUCAGAAUGCCACGGUGAAUACGUUCCCGGGCCUUGUACACACCGCCCGUCACACCAUGGGAGUGGGUUGCAAAAGAAGUAGGUAGCUUAACCUUCGGGAGGGCGCUUACCACUUUGUGAUUCAUGACUGGGGUGAAGUCGUAACAAGGUAACCGUAGGGGAACCUGCGGUUGGAUCACCUCCUUACCUUAAAGAAGC